rnacentral:rRNA from 1 species
UACGUAGGCGGCCUUUUAAGUCAGGUGUGAAAGCGUGAGGCUUAACCUCAUUAAGCACUUGAAACUGGAAGACUUGAGUGAAGGAGAGGAAAGUGGAAUUCCUAGUGUAGCGGUGAAAUGCGUAGAUAUUAGGUGGAAUACCGGUGGCGAAGGCGACUUUCUGGACUUUUACUGACGCUCAGGUACGAAAGCGUGGGGAGCAAACA